AUGGGGACCCGACAUAUACCGCUGCCUUGCCUGUACGAGCUCCUCCUCGGCAACGAGCGUGACCGUUGGUCGCCGGAGGCCAGGUUCAUCGAAGCCGCCCACAACGGCGACGUCGGCAAGAUCAAGAAGAUUGCAAAGGAGCUGGACGUCCGCGGGCACGGGAUCCCGGUGACGGUGGCCAACACCACCUACAUGGGCAUGAACGCCCUCCAUGCCGCCGCCGGCUGCGGCAGCUUCUCGGUCUUCCAGUAUCUCGUGGAGGAGGUCAAGAUGGAUGCGGACUUGCCUGACACCGCUCAGCAGUUUACACCCGUGGCGCAUGCCGUCACCAAUGGCAACCUUCCCGCCGUCAAGUACCUCAUUGAUCAUGGCGCUGAUGUGCAUCAGCAACGUGCAAAGGGAAACAUCACUCUUCUUCAUGCAGCUGCAGUUCAUGGGUACUCUGAAAUAGUAAAGUUUCUUCUUGUGAGGGGAGCUGAUGUGCAUGCAAUAUCAGAUCUUGGAACAGCACUCGCGGAUGCUGCCAUUAGAGGAUUUCCUAGUAUUGUCAAGAUCCUUUUGGAGCACAAUGCAGAUCCCAACAAGGCUAGUUGUCAGUUUGGACUUUUAAGCAUGGCAUUACAAAAAUCUUCUAUAUCCUGGGUGAAGUUAUUGAUUCAGGGUGGAGCUAAUGUCAGUGGUGAUAGUCCUCAGGAUAAUCUUUUGGUAAAGGCUGCAGAGAAGGGCUUAACUGAAGCUAUCAAGUGCUUGUUGGAAGCUGGUGCAAACCCAAAUGUUCCUAGCACAUUUGGUAGACUGCCAAUUGAGUUGGCUGUUGAGUAUGGUACACGGGAAGAUGUUGAGAUUCUCUUUCCGUUCACCUCGCCCAUUUCAACUGUGGCAAAUUGGAGCGUUGAUGGAAUCAUUAGUCAUGUGAAGAUGGAAAUCAAGCAACUAGAGGAUGAAAAAUUUGUGAAAGAGAGGGUGUCUGACCUGAAACGACAAGCAGAUGAAGCAUUCAAAAACCAGGAUUAUCUAAAUGCAUCAGUGCUCUACACACAGGCACUGAAGAUGGAUAACUUCGACGCCAAGUUGUUGUCAAACAGGAGUCUUUGCUGGCUUCGCAUGGGUGAUGGACAAAGGGCUUUUGAUGAUGCAACUAAAUGCAAAAGGCUGCGUCCAAAGUGGGCAAAGGCGCACUAUCGAGAAGGAGCAGCUCUAAUGUUCAUGAAGAAGUAUGCUGCUGCGUAUUCCGCACUCUCACACGCUUUAGAGUUGGACCCGGAAAGCAAAGAGACCGAGAAAUUAUUCUGGGAGGCGAUGGAACUUAAGUGA
rnacentral:rRNA from 1 species